GGAAGAGGUGGCUGUGAUGACUGUCUCCCUCUGCUCCACGACAGCUCUUCAAAGUCCCCCAUGAAAGGAUGACCUUCCCCAGUGGAGGAGAAAUGUUCUCCCUGGAACGGAAAAUAGCUCAGCCAUGCUCCCUGGUUAGGACUUUCAAACAAGCUCUCAGUGCCUAAUUAUGGGGAUUCCUUUAGGGCAAAACAGAAAGGGCAAAUUCAGAAAUCCUUCUGUACUUUUCU
rnacentral:sRNA from 1 species